GACGAACGCUGGCGGCGUGCUUAACACAUGCAAGUCGAACGGAAAGGCCCUGCUUUUGUGGGGUGCUCGAGUGGCGAACGGGUGAGUAACACGUGAGUAACCUGCCCUUGACUUUGGGAUAACUUCAGGAAACUGGGGCUAAUACCGGAUAGGAGCUCCUGCUGCAUGGUGGGGGUUGGAAAGUUUCGGCGGUUGGGGAUGGACUCGCGGCUUAUCAGCUUGUUGGUGGGGUAGUGGCUUACCAAGGCUUUGACGGGUAGCCGGCCUGAGAGGGUGACCGGUCACGUUGGGGUUGGAAGCGGUCCCAGACUCCGUGGGGAGGGAAAUGGGGGGAAUAAUCUAAAAAGGGAGGAAGCCAAGAGGGGAAAGGCCGGGGGGGGGAAGCUCGCCUUCGGUUUGAAAACCAGUUUUGCUUUAUACGAAGGGAAGGGGCCGGAAAUGGGUAAAGGAGCACCGGUGACCACCUU
rnacentral:rRNA from 1 species